GCUCCCAUGGCGUAGUGGUCACUGCGCUCGCCUUGCACGCUGGAGACCCGGGUUCGAUUCCCGGCGGGGUCA
rfam:Asian citrus Psyllid, Diaphorina citri - Florida Strain, whole genome shotgun sequence.